rnacentral:rRNA from 1 species
GUCUCUUUGGAAUAAUAUUAUGAGGAGUCUGGCCUGCCCAGUGAUGUAAUUUUUAACGGCCGCGGUAUUUUGACCGUGCAAAGGUAGCAUAAUAAUUUGCUUUUUAAUUAAAGGCUAGAAUGAAUGGUUAGACGAGAGCGAAACUGUCUUUUUUAUAUUUAUUAGAAAUUAUCUUUUAGGUUAAAAGACCUAAAUAUUACUAAAGGACGAGAAGACCCUGUUGAGCUUUUAAAAGAGUGGAAUAACUAAUUAUCCUAGAAAUUUAUAGUUAUUUCAAAAUUUUAGUUGGGGCGACUGUGGAGUAAAGAAAACCUCCAUUUAUUAAAAAUAAUUCACUAUUUUUGAUCCCUUAUUUAGGAUAAAAGAAAUUAGUUACCAAAGGGAUAACAGCGUAAUUCUCUUUGAGAGACCUUAUCGACAAGGGAGAUUGCGACCUCGAUGUUGGAUUAAAAUAUACUAAGAGAUGCAGAAGUUUUUUAAGUUAGUCUGUUCGACUAUUGAAAUUUU